UACGGAGGGGGCUAGCGUUGUUCGGAAUUACUGGGCGUAAAGCGCGCGUAGGCGGACCUGCAAGUCGGGGGUGAAAGCCCGAGGCUCAACCUCGGAACUGCCUUCGAUACUGCGGGUCUCGAGUCCGGGAGAGGUGAGUGGAAUUCCUAGUGUAGAGGUGAAAUUCGUAGAUAUUAGGAAGAACACCAGUGGCGAAGGCGGCUCACUGGCCCCGGUGCGUGACGC
rnacentral:rRNA from 1 species